UUACUUUCUCUCCUUUCUUCUCACUCCCAGUGUCCUGUUUAUUAGUUCUCAGUCUUUGUCUGGUGUCUCUAUUUUAUAAAAAUCUUCAAGCAUUUUCUGUCUGUUUUUGCGAAUGUACUAAAUGUUUCUCUGAACUUGAUAAACUGGUUUUUCAGCUUUAAGAAGAUAUUGCAGGAUAAGCCAGCUGCCCCCAGCUGCUCACACACACACACACACACAUAUACACUUACAUGUACAUUUGGGUUGUGCUUCUGUAGGAAAUCAUCCUUCACACAAGGCUGCAGGUCAAAAAAGGUAAGCCUUUUCAGUUUUAUAUAAGUUACACAUCCCAGUCCCAACCCUGUAAUUGUAACAAACUACACUCAGAUCAAGAAGCCAGUGAGAAGUUGAUCUCUUGAUUUUCCCAGUUGCUUGGGUCUGUUAUUGUUUGCAAGGAAAACUUACAGGACCAGUUAGGGCAAAUUUGUUAUAAAUUUAAUUAUCAAUUCUGUGCAAUCAGUGUUGCCAAACAGAAUUGCAAAAAUAAUGACAGAAACGUUUCCCAAUUGCUCCUUUCAUCCCAAACUCAUGACAUUGGAUGGGUUAAUGUAACAAGGGUGCUGGUCAGAUACUUCAAAAAAACGCAUUUUAACUUUCCAAAUAAAUAAAUUAAUUAAUUAACAUCACUUUUUAUGUAAUAAUUUAAUGACUCCAAUAGAGACUCAUGGAAGAUUACCUCAUUUAUCCAGUAUAGUCAAAUGGAACAGCUUUCUAAAAAUAGGUUAUUAGGAGACAGAUUAACUUAAUAGGAAUGCUUAGGAACGCAUCACCCCAAACUUAUGUUACUGAGUCAGUGUAGUUGUGUGAUAUGCAAACUGUUUUGGUAAAAUAUUGCAAAAUGUUAGAAUAUUAUAUUAAAAUUGUUUACUUGUUUAAAAUAAAUCUGCAGCAUCUGUGGGCUCCAUGGAGGAAGAGCACACAUGCCCCAUGUGCCGUGACCUUUUUAGUCGAUCUCAACCCUUUCUCUGUGGCCACAGCUUUGCUUGGCAUGUGCGCAAGAGGCCUGGAGCCAGAGUAACGUCUGUGGCAAGCGAAGAUUUGUAUGCCCACAGUGCCUGGAGGAGCAGAGGGUAGUGGUAUGUGUCUGCUGUCCGGAAGACGAGGGUAAUGCGGCCCAAGCUGCAGUGAAGACCUGCCUGUGAUGUGAGAUCUCCCUGUGUGAGCAGCAUCUGCAGCCACAUCUGCAGCGUCCUGUGUACAGCACUCAUCUGUUGGUGGAGCCACUGAUGGAUGUAUCCUGCUGCAUGUGCCCUGCCCAUCUGGAGAUAUUCCGGUAUUACUGCAUGGAUGAUAGGGAAUAUGUCUGCCCAGAUUGCAUUUUGGAAGGACAGCAUGCUCAACACCAGGUCAAAGGGGUAAGAAAAGUGGAGGAGGAAUACAAAGUAAGUCAUAAUAUCUAUUGUUAUUUAAGAGAGAGUCGUGUUGUGGGAUUUAAUUAUUUUUUAGGACUGUUCACACUGAGCUUGGUUUAUUGUCCUCUUAUGUGGAGCAUUUACAAAGAGCACCAAUGGAAAAGUUGCACAAUGCGAAUGCAAGAACUGUGUAAACUUCUGUGUGAAUGGCCCCUCAGUCUUGUAUUUUGAAUUCUUAAAAGAAGCAUGGGUUAAAAGGUAUUCCUUCUCAUGGUGAUAAGAAGAAAAAGUCUUUAGUGACAAGUAACCAAGUUAUUCUAUUCACUUGUUUGUACCACAAUUUUAACAUUUACUGCACUUUAUGUACCUACAGCGGCUAAUGAAUCAGAAGUCUCACACAUUCACAGGAAAUAACUUAAACCACAUGAAAAAGUAAGAUGGAUAUACAGUGACACCUAACCUGAAAACCCAGAAUUAAUUUUUGUAACUCAAAGUAAAGACUGAACAGUGUAAAACAUGGUAAAAGAUAAUAAAGCAUUCUGUAAGCCCAUGGUUCAAAUUUAAAAAGCUUUUCUGUAAUGUGUAUAGGUCCAAUUACAGAGCCUGUUUGAGAAAGCAGAAGAGAAAAUAAAACAAGGUGAAAAGAUACUUCAAGAACAUCAGAAAGCUUGUCGCAGCAUCAUAGAGGACUAUUCUGUGAGUGAUGUCUCCCAGGUGUUACAGAUGGGUUCAGCCCUGCAGGCUCAGGUGGGCAGACUGGUGUCAGCCGUGAUAAAAAUCACGGAGCUGGAGAGACAGCAGGUCAUGGAGAGGGUGCAGGAAGAGUGCAGCAGAGAAAGAGAAGAUCUGAACCAAACUGAGAGCAUCCACCACUUAUUUGGCUCCCUGCUGGAUGAGAGCGACCCCUUCCUGCUCAUCUGGGAUGAUGGCAGAUCUCAACACACCUCUGUUCACACCACCUUAGCCCAGCAUGGAUAAGAAAUGUGUUUUAGAGAAUGUGGAAAAUAAAUACAGAGAAUUCAUAGCUGAGACCCUGCACUGCCUAAUUAAGCUCAAGAGAGAUCUCUUAAGCAGCCUAUUAACCUUGGACAAAAACUCAGCCUAUCCUCUCCCAAACAUCUCUGAAGACUUACGGACAGUGAUGAGGGUCAAAAAGUUUGACCACUGGUCUCAGGUGGUCUCCUGUCAGAUAUUUUCUUCAGGAACCCAUUACUGGGAGCUGGAGGUGGAGGGAUUCUGGGAUAUAGCAGUGAACUACAGCUAUAUCCCUAUACAGCAAUGGUAGGAAAUCAAAAGAGGGCACAGCCUUUGGCUGCAACAAGAUAGAUUGUUAACCUAAUACACAAACUUUUUUAAUACCAAAUAUGAUGAUCUCUCUGCAAACGACUUCUUAAAAUAUAAAUGCACCCAUAUAUUUUCAUGUAUAAA